GCGAGCCGUAUACAUUGAAAGGUGUACGUACGGUUCUGAGGGAGGCAGGCGGAUGGUUUAAUUACCUGUCGACCCUAC
rnacentral:ncRNA from 1 species